GACAGAGGGUGCAAACGUUGUUCGGAAUUACUGGGCGUAAAGCGCGUGUAGGCGGCUUCGCAAGUCGGAUGUGAAAUCCCACGGCUCAACCGUGGAAGUGCAUUCGAAACUGCAAGGCUAGAGUUCUGGAGAGGAAGGUGGAAUGCUUGGUGUAGAGGUGAAAUUCGUAGAUAUCAAGCGGAACACCGGUGGCGAAGGCGGCCUUCUGGACAGUAACUGACGCUGAGACGCGAAAGCGUGGGGAGCGAACAGG
rnacentral:rRNA from 1 species